GGGAACUCGGCAAAAUGCCCCCGUAACUUCGGGAGAAGGGGGGCCGGAUGCGUUACCUCACUUGCUGGGGGAAGCGUUGAUGGCCGCAGAGACCAGGCCCAAGCGACUGUUUACUAAAAACACAGGUCCGUGCGAAGAAGUAAUUCGAUGUAUACGGACUGACGCCUGCCCGGUGCUGGAACGUUAAGGGGACAGGUUAGCUGGUUUAGGCCGGCGAAGCUUUGGACUUAAGCGCCAGUAAACGGCGGUGGUAACUAUAACCAUCCUAAGGUAGCGAAAUUCCUUGUCGGGUAAGUUCCGACCUGCACGAAUGGCGUAACGACUUGGGCGCUGUCUCAACCAUGGACUCGGCGAAAUUGCAUUACGAGUAAAGAUGCUCGUUACGCGCAGCAGGACGGAAAGACCCCGGGACCUUUACUACAACUUGGUAUUGGUGGUCGGCACAACUUGUGUAGGAUAGGUGGGAGACUGUGAAAUCCGGACGCCAGUUCGGGUGGAGUCAUCGUUGAAAUACCACUCUGGUUGUUCUGGCUGUCUAACUUCGGUCCAUUAUCUGGAUCAGGGACAGUGCCUGGUGGGUAGUUUGACUGGGGCGGUCGCCUCCUAAAAGGUAACGGAGGCGCUCAAAGGUUCCCUCAGCCUGGUUGGCAAUCAGGUGUCGAGUGUAAGUGCACAAGGGAGCUUGACUGUGAGACAGACAUGUCGAGCAGGGACGAAAGUCGGAACUAGUGAUCCAGCGGUGGCAUGUGGGAGCACCGUCGCUCAACGGAUAAAAGGUACCCCGGGGAUAACAGGCUGAUCUUCCCCAAGAGUCCAUAUCGACGGGAUGGUUUGGCACCUCGAUGUCGGCUCGUCGCAUCCUGGGGCUGGAGUAGGUCCCAAGGGUUGGGCUGUUCGCCCAUUAAAGCGGCACGCGAGCUGGUUUAGAACGUCGUGAGACAGUUCGGUCCCUAUCCGCUGCGCGCGCAGGAGACUUGAGAAGGGCUGCCCCUAGUACGAGAGGACCGGGGUGGACGAACCUCUGGUGUGCCGGUUGUUCCGCCAGGAGCACGGCUGGUUGGCUACGUUCGGGAGUGAUAACCGCUGAAAGCAUCUAAGCGGGAAGCGCGCUUCAAGAUGAGGUCUCCCACCGAGUUAAUCGGGUAAGGCCCCCAGUAGACCACUGGGUUGAUAGGCCAGAGGUGGAAGCGCCGUAAGGUGUGGAGCUGACUGGUACUAAUAGGCCGAGGGCUUGUCCCA
rnacentral:rRNA from 1 species